UAAGCAUAUUAUUAAGCGGAGGAAAAGAAACUAACAAGGAUUCCCCUAGUAACGGCGAGUGAACGGGGAAGAGCCCAACACCGAAUCCCUUGGCGCAAGUCAAUGGGAAAUGUGGUGUUAAGGUUGCCCUUCGUGCCGGUCCAGGCGUCUCAAGUCCACCUGAUUGUGGCUCAAGCCCAGAGAGGGUGUAAGGCCCGUAGAGACGCUCCGACUGGUUCCUGGGGUUUACCUACGAGUCGGCUUGUUUGGGAAUGCAGGCCAAAGCGGGUGGUAAACUCCAUCCAAGGCUAAAUACUGGCACGAGUCCGAUAGCGGACAAGUACCGUGAGGGAAAGUUGAAAAGAACUUUGAAGAGAGAGUUCAAUAGUACGUGAAACCGCUUAGAGGCAAACGGAUGGUGCUCAAACUGGUCUGGGGAAUUCAACCGAGUUGGCGGCUAGGAGGGCUGGCGUCAGAUCUCUCUUUUGGGACUGCGCGCUGGUCUUUACUAGCUCUGACUCGGUGCACUUUCCCUAGUGCCUUCGCCACGACCGACGACACUGGCUACCCGCGGCUGGGGUAAGAUAACAUUCUGUUUCGGCAGUUUGUCUUAUAGACCCUGGCGUCGGACUUGUUUGGCCAGGACGUCGGAGCUAGCGGUGCCCGCUCUUUUGGGCUCGUAUGUUGGUCAGCUUGGUUGUGCCGAUGCUUGUACUGGUAACCAGUGCUUGUGACGGUUGCAGCCUUGUUCUGAUUGGCCUCUGCGAGUUUGGCGCCUACAGUCUGUGGUGUCUUUGUGGGUAGACUAUCCGACCCGUCUUGAAACACGGACCAAGGAGUCUAACAUGUGCGCGAGUCAUGGGGAUUUUACGAAACCCAAAGGCGCAGUGAAAGUAAAGGCUUGCUUUUCGCAGGCUGAGGUGGGAUCUCGUGCAUCGCGAUUGGCGAGCGCACCACCGGCCCGUCCUAUCUGUCUCUGUCAGUGGGGCGGCGCAAGAGCGUACACGUUGGGACCCGAAAGAUGGUGAACUAUGCUUGCGCAGCUCGAAGUCAGUGGAAACACUGAUGGAGGAGCGCAGCGUUUCUGACGUGCAAAUCGAUCGUCAAACGUGAGUAUAGGGGCGAAAGACUAAUCGAACCAUCUAGUAGCUGGUUCCCUCCGAA
rnacentral:rRNA from 1 species